UACGUGGGGGGCAAGCGUUGUCCGGAUUUAUUGGGCGUAAAGAGCGUGUAGGCGGCCGUACAGGUCAGCUGUGAAAACUCGAGGCUCAACCUCGAGACGUCGGUUGAAACCGUACGGCUAGAGUCCGGAAGAGGAGAGUGGAAUUCCCGGUGUAGCGGUGAAAUGCGCAGAUAUCGGGAAGAACACCCGUGGCGAAGGCGGCACUCUGGGACGGUACUGACGCUGAGACGCGAAAGCGUGGGGAGCGAACAGG
rnacentral:rRNA from 1 species